AUUGAACGCUGGCGGCAGGCCUAACACAUGCAAGUCGAGCGAGCGGCGGACGGGUGAGUAAUGUAUGGGGACUGCCCGAUGGAGGGGGAUAACUACUGGAAACGGUGGCUAAUACCGCAUACUAUCGGAUAACCCAUAUGGGAUUAGCUAGUAGGUGGGGUAAAGGCUCACCUAGGCGACGAUCCCUAGCUGGUCUGAGAGGAUGAUCAGCCACACUGGAACUGAGACACGGCCCAGACUCCUACGGAGGCAGCAGUGGGGAAUAUUGCGCAAUGGGCGAAAGCCUGAUGCAGCCAUGCCGCGUGUAUGAAGAAGGCCUUAGGGUUGUAAAGUACUGUCAGCAGGGAGGCGGUACCCACACAAGAAGCACCGGCUAACUCCGUGCCAGCAGCCGCGGUAAUUC
rnacentral:rRNA from 1 species